UCUGUGCGARGUDAACCAUUAAAUGCCCCGBUGGGGAGUACGGCCGNAAGGUUGAAACUCAAAGGAAUUGACGGGGGCCCGCACAAGCKUGGAGCAUGUGGUUUAACUCGACGCUACGCGAAGAACCUUACCUGGGCUUGACAUGUAGUGGUAAAGACCCGAAAGGGCGAUGACUUUGGGGUAACUCAUUGAGCCUACACAGGUGCUCAUGGCUGUCGUCAGCUCGUGCCGUGAGGUGUUGGGUUAAGUCCCGCAACGAGCGCAACCCUAUUCUCUGUUGGUCGCAAGACCGCUCUGAGGAAACUGCCAGCGAUGAGCUGGAGGAGGUGGGGACGACGUCAAGUCAUCAUGGCCCUUACGUCCAGGGCUACACACGUGCUACAAGGCCUCUACAGAHGGUCGCAAGACCGUGAGGUGGAGCCAAUCCCUAAAAGAGGUCUCAGUGGGAUCGGAGUCUGCAACUCGACUCCGUGAACGCGGAAUCGCUAGUAAUCGUGGAUCACUACGCCACGGUGAAUACGUUCCCGGGCCUUGUACACACCGCCCGUCGCACCACGAAAGCUGUUGUACCCGAAUCCGGUGCACUAACCCGCAANGGAGGUAGCUGUCUAAGGUAUGACGGUGAUUGGGGUG
rnacentral:rRNA from 1 species